rnacentral:tRNA from 1 species
GGCAAGAUGGCCGAGCGGUCUAAGGCGCUAGGGUCAGGUAAUCUGAUCACACAUAUUGGCUCUCUGAGCAAUAUUCCUAGUCACGCAAGUGGCGUGGGUUCGAAUCCCACUCUUGUCA